rnacentral:lncRNA from 1 species
CUUCCUCUUUGGGGACGGCACGGGUUUUAAUAAAAAGUUGUAAAGUGUAUUGAUAGUGGAGAAAAAGUGAUAUAAUUAUUAUUGGAAGUUGUGAAAAGUGUUAUAAUUAGUAUUGGGAGUGGUGAAAAGUGAAAAGUAAAAAUAAAUAAAGUAUUAUUAGUGGUGGGGUAGGUUUCCAAAAAUGGAAAGAAAGAAAGAGGAAGUUAUUUGGGGGACGUCCCAAAAUGGAAAAAGAGGAAGUUAUUUUAG